rnacentral:rRNA from 1 species
UACAGAGGUGGCAAGCGUUGUUCGGAAUUACUGGGCGUAAAGGGCGCGUAGGCGGUCUUGUAAGUCUUGUGUGAAAUCCCUCGGCUUAACUGAGGAACUGCACGGGAUACUGCAUGACUUGAGUUCGGGAGAGGGAAGCGGAAUUCCGGGUGUAGCGGUGAAAUGCGUAGAUAUCCGGAGGAACACCGGUGGCGAAGGCGGCUUCCUGGACCGACACUGACGCUGAGGUGCGAAAGCGUGGGGAGCAAACAGG